GAUUGGCAAGAUGGCUCAGCGGUUAAGAGCAUUGACUGUUCUUCUGAAGGUCCUGAGUUCAAAUCCCAGCAACCA
rnacentral:tRNA from 1 species